GGCAGAUUAGGUAGUUGGUGAGGUAAAGGCUCACCAAGCCUUCGAUCUGUAGCUGGUCUGAGAGGACGACCAGCCACACUGGGACUGAGACACGGCCCAGACUCCUACGGGAGGCAGCAGUGGGGAAUAUUGCACAAUGGGCGAAAGCCUGAUGCAGCGACGCCGCGUGAGGGAUGACGGCCUUCGGGUUGUAAACCUCUUUCAGUAGGGAAGAAGCGAAAGUGACGGUACCUGCAGAAGAAGCGCCGGCUAACUACGUGCCAGCAGCCGCGGUAAUACGUAGGGUGCAAGCGUUGUCCGGAAUUAUUGGGCGUAAAGAGCUCGUAGGCGGUUUGUCGCGUCUGCCGUGAAAGUCCGAGGCUCAACCUCGGAUCUGCGGUGGGUACGGGCAGACUAGAGUGAUGUAGGGGAGACUGGAAUUCCUGGUGUAGCGGUGAAAUGCGCAGAUAUCAGGAGGAACACCGAUGGCGAAGGCAGGUCUCUGGGCAUCUACUGACGCUGAGGAGCGAAAGCAUGGGGAGCGAACAGGAUUAGAUACCCUGGUAGUCCAUGCCGUAAACGUUGGGCACUAGGUGUGGGGAACAUUCCACGUUUUCCGCGCCGUAGCUAACGCAUUAAGUGCCCCGCCUGGGGAGUACGGCCGCAAGGCUAAAACUCAAA
rnacentral:rRNA from 1 species